GCGCGUAGGCGGCUCGUUAAGUGAGAAGUGAAAGCUCUUGGCUCAACCAAGAAACCGCUUUUCAUACUGGCGAGCUAGAGUGAUGCAGAGGUGGAUAGAAUUCCCGGUGUAGCGGUGAAAUGCGUUGAUAUCGGGAGGAAUACCCGUGGCGAAGGCGGUCCACUGGGCAUCAACUGACGCUGAGGCGCGAAAGCGUGGGUAGCAAACAGGAUUAGAUACCCUGGUAGUCCACGCCCUAAACGAUGGAUGCUAGGCGUAGGAGGUAUCGACCCCUCCUGUGCCGCAGCUAACGCACUAAGCAUCCCGCCUGGGGACUACGGCCGCAAGGUUGAAACUCAAAUGAAUUGACGGGGACCCGCACAAGCGGUGGAGCAUGUGGAUUAAUUCGAUACUAACCGAAGAACCUUACCCAGGUUUGACAUCGAGGGUAAGCCUAUGAAAGUAGGCCCUCUCCCACAAGGAGACCCGAAGACAGAUGUUGCAUGGCUGUCGUCAGCUCGUGCCGUGAGGUGUACGGUUAAGUCCGCCAACGAGCGCAACCCUCGUCGUGUGUU
rnacentral:rRNA from 1 species